rnacentral:snRNA from 1 species
AAAAAUUGGAACGAUACAGAGAAGAUUAGCAUGGCCCCUGUGCAAGGAUGACAUGCAAAUUUGUGAAGCGUUCCAUAAAAUA